UAGCGUUGUUAUAGGCGAUGAUAGCGUA
rnacentral:sRNA from 1 species